AAUAAGUGUAGUUAUGGGUUUCUGUGUCCAAUGUUUGACCGCCCGUCUUAUUUAAAAAAAAAUGAUUAGUAUUUUUUGUUGUUAUUAGAUGAUAAAAUAUGAAUAGUACUUUAUGUAUGACUAUUUUUUUAAAAAAUAUUUUAUAAAAUUUUCAAAUAAGACAGUUGGUCAAAUGUUGCACAGAGACCGACCACUAAAGCACUCUCC
rfam:Oryza sativa Japonica Group DNA, chromosome 6, cultivar: Nipponbare, complete sequence.